GUACAAGGACUAAAUAAGGCGAUGAAUCUACUAUAUGAAUAACCCCAGCAAGAUUAUUUUCAAGAAAGUUCUCUCAAUCUCUUUCUGAACCGCAAACCCUAACUCUCUCUGCAAAAGAUGUCUCACUUCGGCAGGUCUGGCCCUCCAGACAUCGCCGACACAUACUCUCUUCUCGUCCUCAACAUCACCUUCCGUACUACUGCUGAUGAUCUGUUUCCGCUAUUCGACAAGUACGGCAAGGUUGUUGACAUCUUCAUCCCUAGAGAUCGAAGAACUGGGGAAUCGAGGGGCUUUGCAUUUGUGCGCUACAAAUACGCUGAUGAAGCUCAGAAGGCAGUGGAAAGGCUAGAUGGGAGGGUUGUUGAUGGUCGCGAAAUAACAGUUCAGUUUGCAAAAUAUGGGCCCAAGGCUGAGAGGAUUCAUAAGGGAAGGAUUGUUGAAACGCCUUCAAAAUCAAGGCACAGGUCCAGAAGUCGCAGCCCUCGGAGAAGGUACCGAGAUGACUCUAGAGAUAGGGACUCUAGGAAGAGAAGUAGGAGCAGAAGCAGGGACAGGGACAGGUCUGACCGUGACAGGUACCGUGCAAAGGACAAAGAUUAUCGUAGACGGAGCAGGAGUCGCAGUGCCAGUCCUGAUUACUCCAGAGGACGUGGUAGAAGCCGUUAUGAUGAUGAGCGGCGAAGUAGCAGCCGAUCUAGGGAUAGUCUCUCCCCUCGGCGGAGCCUGGAACCUCGAAGGAGUUUUUCCCCACGUAAGAAUUCCCCUGUGAAAGGUGAAAGCCCUGAUAGACGCAGCCGUGAUGGUGGGUCUCCAACCCCUCGAAGUGCUUCUCCACGAGGUCGGCCUGCUGCGUCUCGUAGCCCAUCCCCGCGAAAUUCAGAUGUUGAUGAAUGAGCUUUGAGGGUUGCAUGGAUCUUUUGUGGCACUUUGACUAGUGCCAAUCUGAUGGUCAUGUUGCUACAGCUGAACUCUCUUUUAAUCGUUGAAUAUGUUCUGGUCAGGUUUUAAGAACUGGUUUGGUACUUAUAUAUUUCUAUGUUGAACCCAAUGCAUCUCUAAUUAACUUGGUGGGUUUGCCUUGUAUGGACUUUAUAGUUUGUAGGCUGAUACUUUACUCUCCAUGAAAGACUUGAGUUUUUUGUUCCGGAAAAGAUUGACGUGGGGCAGAUGGCCAGGAUGUUGAUAUUGUGGAUAUUGUAGCUGUUGAUGCUGUUUGUAAAACAUAGAUGGAUGAUCGUGGUUGUGAUUUCUCUAAAUUUCUGAUGAGUGGUAAGAUAAAAAAACGUCCACCCCUGAUUUCAAAACAAAUCGUGUCAUUCUGGUGUCUGAUGUUUGACCUGAUUAUCUUCUGGUCUUUGUUUAUCUUGAAAUUAUUGGUCCUGAGAUGGGGGUGGUAGUUGCUGUGAUGGUAUAGAAGGUGGACACAAGAUGAUCGUGUUUUGCCUGUAGCUGAUGCUGCAAAUGAAGUGGACCUGUUAAUAGAUCUCAUACUGAUACAUAGUAUGAGACAUAAUAUGCAGUUCUGAAUUUUGCAGCCGCAGUUUUUUACAGGCCAGUGAAGUAAGCAUACAAGUCCGUGACUGUAGCUGUUGAAGUGAUGGCUGAUGCCUGUUCUGUUGUAUGAUAUUGGUCGGUCCGUAACUUAUGCAAGUAUUAGUGAAUAAUCACCUGUAGCGGUCAGUUGCUGCCCUCCAUGAUGGGGUUGGUUCGGUAAUGGUACUAGCACUUUUGAUACUGGUGGUGGCUGCUACCUUGCUGUGUUGCUGGCUUGCUGUCAGUUCCAUAAGUUGUAUGCUUUGCCAUGUCAUCCACUUUACUGCAAUACUUUGUUUGGAAAAAGUUGCUUUGCAAUUUGCUUUUUUUUUUUUUUUAUCGUGCUCCAGUCAAAUUUUAUGCCCAUUAGGGAAAGAUAACUGCUGUUUCUUAACCCUUAUUUUAUUCUUUUUUGUUAGGGUUUCUUAUGUAUUGGAUUGUACAUCUGCCACCUGGUCCUUGUGCUUUAUCUAGAUUGUAUCUUCUAAACACUUUUGAGUGUGCUUAUUGUAUGUUCUUUGAACUAGUUGGUUGGUAGUAUUAUUACAUCACUAA